ACUGUGGUAAGAGGAAUUCACACUCUUGUUUCCUUGGAGUCAGUGUUGCAGCACAAGCUGAGCCAUCAAGAAGUCCACAAAGAAAAAAGCCUGCUUGAGGGUUCAGGCUGAUGCUGAAACACUGAGUAAGCCUGACUCAGACCCAUCAGCUGUGCCACGGGCAAGGCUUGAGACUCAGCGGGGAGCUGUUUUUUUGUGCAUCAGAGAGCGCCUUGUGCCAUGUGUGAAGCAUAGAAUUAAAGGUGGUGGUUGACAAUG